UACGUAGGGUGCAAGCGUUAAUCGGAAUUACUGGGCGUAAAGCGUGCGCAGGCGGUUUUGUAAGGCAGUUGUGAAAUCCCCGGGCUCAACCUGGGAACUGCAUCUGUGACUGCAUAGCUAGAGUACAGUAGAGGGGGAUGGAAUUCCGCGUGUAGCAGUGAAAUGCGUAGAUAUGCGGAGGAACACCGAUGGCGAAGGCAAUCCCCUGGACCUGUACUGACGCUCAUGCACGAAAGCGUGGGGAGCAAACAGG
rnacentral:rRNA from 1 species